rnacentral:lncRNA from 1 species
ACCGCUCUCCAAGGACUCUCGAGCAGCUCCAUCUACAGAUUCACAUGGAGAAGAAUUAAGGGUUCCUGCCAAUCACCAGCACCACUUUGCCAGCCUUGUAAGUGGGCCACCUUGGAAUUGGAGCCUCCAGUUCCUACUGACAUCUGACUGCAACAUCAUGAGAGACCCUGAGUUUGAACCACCCAGCUGAGCUGCUUCUGAGCUAACCCACUGAAACCACAGUUGGCAUCUGUGUGAAGAUGUGAAUGGAGGAGGCAGAGUAGGCAGUGAGUGCCGCAGCCACAGCUUGUGUUCUCUGCAGCCCUGGCACAGAAGAUAGGAACACUCAUGGGGGAUGCGGCCACUGUGAUGUCUUCCCACACAAGAAGUGCCAAGUGCUUUUCUCAUGCUUUUCUGGAUUGUCCCAUGGUGGACGAGUCAGCAGGAGUGAGAUGGAGCAGCACAGUAGAGGGGUACCUGGCAAGGCCCGGAGGGAGGACCCCCUGCCCCAAACAUUUCAAUGAUAUCAGGUGACAGCCGUGAUCCUCUUAGCACCUGCUCUGUUUUGUCCCAGGCCAGGAUAUCGUUGUACAUAUUCUCAGCUAAGUGAGCACCAAUAGAGGAGAGGGAGAGUCUCAUGGAAGUUCCUUCUAAGCCUUUGGCUCUUUUUACCUUCAACAAGGUGUGCCACCUCUUUGAUCCAGCAAGUGGGAAGAACAGUCCCGGCCUCUUUGCACACAAGACCGUGAUACCAAUGCACCAUCACAGGCCCCACAGGGGAGCUGUCCGCUUCCCCACACAGCUGCUAGGGGCUCUUUUGCAUGUUCCCAACCUUUCCUGCCUUUAUCUGAUAUUCGUUCCUUAGAUCCUGGGAUGAGGAGGUGGACCAGCAGAAGGUGGGCUUGUGAAGGCAGCCCGGGGUCCAAAUCCUCCUGGCUCUUCAGCUUAGCGGGAUGUCACCUUCAGCGUCUGAAAGCUGGGUUUGAUGCGUCUGGAAAGGCGUCCCUGACAGGCGUCGUUGCCAGGAGCCCCUAGUGCCACCAGCAGCCAGCAGGGGAGGGCGUCCUCUGCCCGCUCACUUCUGACCCUUCUCUCGUUGCACCCGGAACAUGGUGCAGCUGGGAGCAGCCUGGGCUGCGCGGAAGGCUCAGAUUUGGGGACGGCCCUUGCCAGUGACUGUGAGCUGGGGUGUCUUGGAAACUCCCAGUCUCAGCUUCUCCAUUUAUAAGAUGAGAAUGAUCAUACCAGACUCAGGCAAGGUUGUUUGUGCAUUAGUGAAAUCAGACGUAUUAAAUAAAGUACCACAUUGAUCGUGGAGUUGUUGAAUAACCAAGAA